CCUACGGGUGGCAGCAGUGAGGAAUAUUGGUCAAUGGACGAGAGUCUGAACCAGCCAAGUAGCGUGAAGGAUGACUGACCUAUGGGUUGUAAACUUCUUUUAUAAAGGAAUAAAACGAGGCACGUGUGCCUUUUUGUAUGUACUUUAUGAAUAAGGAUCGGCUAAAUCCGUGCCAGCAGCGGCGGUACUACGGAGGAUCCGAGCGUUAUCCGGAUUUAUUGGGUUUAAAGGGAGCGUAGAUGGGUUGUUAAGUCAGUUGUGAAAGUUUGCGGCUCAACCGUAAAAGUGCAAUUGAUACUGGCAGUCUUGAGUACAGUUGAGGUAGGCGGAAUUCGUGGUGUAGCGGUGACAUGCUUAGAUAUCACGAAGAACCACGAUUGCGAAGGCAGCUUACUAAACUGUGACUGACAUUGAUGCUCGAAAGUGUGGGUAUCAAACAGGAUUAGAUACCCUUGUAGUC
rnacentral:rRNA from 1 species